rnacentral:rRNA from 1 species
UACGUAGGGUGCGAGCGUUAAUCGGAAUUACUGGGCGUAAAGCGUGCGCAGGCGGUGAGCUGUGUCCGAUGUGAAAGCCCCGGGCUUAACCCGUGGGAAUGGCAUUGGAAACUGGCUCGCUGGAGUGUGGCAGAGGGGGGUGGAAUUCCGCGUGUAGCAGUGAAAUGCGUAGAGAUGCGGAGGAACACCGAUGGCGAAGGCAGCCCCCCUGGGCUAACACUGACGCUCAGGCACGAAAGCGUGGGGAGCAAACAGG